ensembl:lncRNA
CCCUCUCUCUCUGUCCGUCCCUCUCUCUCUCUCUCUCUGUCCGUCUCUCUCUCUCUGUCCGUCCCUCUCUCUCUCUCUCUGUCCGUCCCUCUCUCUCUCUGUCCGUCUCUCUCUCUCUCUGUCCGUCCCUCUCUCUCUCUGUCCCUCUCUCUUUCUAUCCGUCCCUCUCUCUGUCCGUCCCUCUCUCUCUCUCUGUCCGUCCCUCUCUCUCUCUCUGUCCGUCCCUCCCUCUCUCUGUCUGUCCUCCCUCUCUCUCUCUCUGUCGUCCCUCCUCUCUCUCUGUCCGUCCCUCCCUCUCUCUCUCUGUCCGUCCCUCCCUCUCUCUCUGUCAGUCCUCCCUCUCUCUCUGUCGGUCCCUCCCUCUCUCUCUCUGUCCGUCCACUCCCUCUCUCUCUCUGUCCGUCCCUCCCUCUCUCUCUCUGUCCGUCCCUCCCUCUCUCUC